rnacentral:lncRNA from 1 species
ACGUCAGCGCAACAGUUGAGUGGUUGCCAGGUUGAGUAUUUUCCCGCUGAUUGUGAGAUUAUAAAAUAACUAACUUAGUGAUCAAACAGUUUAACGUUGGUUAAAGGUGAUAUUUAUGUUUUAUUUGGAUGAUGAACGGAUGGUUUUUGGGGCAUUUCUGUGGAUAGUCAACAUAUUUCAUGCGGAGAAUCGUCGGUUGUAUCUGGCAACCAGCUAGAGUCAGGAACAAAGCAGUGAAAUGGAGGACGGACAGAGCUGGAUGAUGACUACCGUUAAACUAGAAGAAGAAGAAGAAAUAUUAUGAAGGGAAGUGAAGCUGAGUAUGAGUAAGACGGACAGUGAUGAUGAUGAUGAUGAAGGCUGCAGGAGGAAAGCUGUGCUGGAGGAGCUUCGUCAUCCCGACCAUGUGUGGGACGGAAUGUUUGCUCCAAAGAUGGAGAAAAGCGGAGAAGAAGAAACGGAGGAGUUUUCAGAUGUGUGCUCUGUGAAGGAAGAGCUGUUUGGUGUUUAUAGUGGAGUCAGUGUGGAGGAAGGAGAUAGACUUAUCAACAAAUGUGAAGUGUGUAAGUUCUUGAUGGUGGAGAUGCAGGAGGCACUGGAGAGGACAGGUCGGUCCAAGGAGGUGCUGGAGUUGGGGGAGGUGCUGGACACGGGCAAGAAUAGAUGCAAUAUUAAAUAGUACACGUUGUAAGAACACACUCAUCAACCAUAAUUAUCCUUAAAUAGCUUUAGAAUGCUUAGGAUUUUAAAGCAUUGCAUCGUGGGUAGUUGAUGAUCUGUGUGUUGAUGUU